CACACUGUGCGUCACACAAGUAGAGAGACAGACGAUAUUGUCUCAGAGUCAGGCGCUGUUUGGCGCCUUUUAUGACUCCUGCUCUUUUCCGUGCCGGACAACGCUAGAGAAAGACAUCCGCCAAUGUUACAACUACGUCAACUUAAGCCCAAGUCAACUCUCAGAUCUUGCAUUGGCAAGGACUACAGCCAUUGGAGAAAACGCUGACCAAGUCUACCAGUUCUGUUUAAACAGAGAUUCACUGGCUCAAUGCAUCAGAC
rnacentral:sRNA from 1 species